UUGUUUUAAAUAAGAGGGUUGAAUUUUCGUAACAUCAUUAGCAAAGUUAGUGAGCGCGACUCCACUUCAUUAACUGACGGCUUGUCUUCAGUAAUAAAAAUGAAAUUAUCCACUAUUUUCGUAAUGUUGGUAGCAGUGCUUUCAAUCUUUGCUGGACAAAGUAGUGCAGCUCCUAGACUGAACUUUAGUUCUAUCAGGAAGGGCGCUCGGUUCAUAAGAAAAGGUCUUGAGCUUAUUGGCGAUAUUGGUACAGCCCAAGAACUUUAUGAACAUAUUCGGUUCAAAAAAUAAAAUUAUUAAGGAUGGGGCUUAAUGGUGUGUGAGUUACAAUAGUGCAAUUAUUUAUGAAUAUAAGUAUUAAGUUUUAAUAAAUAUAUUAAUAUAAU